UACGGGGGGAGCAAGCGUUGUUCGGAAUUACUGGGCGUAAAGGGCUCGUAGGCGGCCAACUAAGUCAGACGUGAAAUCCCUCGGCUUAACCGGGGAACUGCGUCUGAUACUGGUUGGCUUGAAUCCGGGAGAGGGAUGUGGAAUUCCAGGUGUAGCGGUGAAAUGCGUAGAUAUCUGGAGGAACACCGGUGGCGAAGGCGGCAUCCUGGACCGGUAUUGACGCUGAGGAGCGAAAGCCAGGGGAGCAAACGGG
rnacentral:rRNA from 1 species